AGAACGAAGGAGAAGGAGACGGAGACAGAAAAAUGAAGGAAAAACAGAGCAUGGAGAGAAGGAGAAACAGGAACGUUUUAGCAAGAGAGAAGAGGGAGGAGAGACGGAAAAAGAGAGAGCCAUAAACGUGAGAGAGAGGUGAGACCGAGGAAGAGUCCGAGAGAGGACCGAAAAAAUGAAAAACAGAGGAAAGAAAAACUAGAGGAGGUGACAAGGAAGAGCGGACCGAAGGGGAGAGUACGUGUUUCCUGAAAAAGACUGAGAGAGGAGUGAAAAAAGAUAGAACUCGAACAGAAGAAAAAAAACAGAGAGGCUGGGAAGGAGGAGGAAGAAAGGAAAAGAAGGAGAGAGAGCAGUGACCGAAUGUAGGAGAUGGGAGAAGCUUGAACAGAGACAAAGAAGAGAAGAGAACACAGCAACGAGAAAAAAAAUAUGAAAAAACAGAGCACUGAAAAACUGAAGAAGAGAGAGCACGAAAAUGAGAGGAACAAGAGAAAAAAAAACUGGAGCACAGAAGGAGAGAGCACAGACACAGCAUGCACGCAAGAGGAAGAUCUAGAGAGAGCACGAAAAAAAAUAGAGCAUGGUGGGGGAAGCAAAAAAACUCGACGGCGAAGUGGAAGAGAGAGAGGAAGAAGACAGAAAAGAAAAGAUCCCGAGAGAAAAAUGGAAAAAAGAGUGGGUUGGAUAGCGUUUGAGUGAGAUUCGAACAGAGAUGGGAGGAGAGAGAGAGCAGUGGCAGAGAUAAAAAAAAAGAGAGGAGAAGGAGACCGAGGGAGAGAACAUGAAAAAAAUAAGAAGAAGAAACACAGCCAUCCAAGGGGGUUGGGCACGUCAGCAACAGAGAAAAAGAUAAGAAAAACCAGACGAAAGAAAGAAGAGAAAAACCGAGGACGAAGAAUUUUGUGAAAUUAUCUGCCUAAGUCUGCCUCUCCUCUUCUUGAUAAGCACCUGAGUGGAUAAAAAAUGCAAGGCUGGACGAAACAUGGACCAACACUGCACACGAGAGAAACAAGAAAUCUGCAGAAGCACACACACGCAAGACAGUAAGGAGAAGACGCAUGCACGUUGCAGAAAAAGCAAAAGAAACCAGAUGCGGAAAAGAUCAGACGUGAAAAACACUUGGUCACGCAAAGAAAAGGAGUCAGAGACAUAUGCAGAAAAAGAAAGGCAUGCAUGUACGAAGAAGAAAAGAAAAACAAAUGCUGGACACGCACGCGAGAGAAACAGAGAAAAAGAGAAAGAAAUAGAGAAGACGUGCACGGCAAAGAAAAGAGCCCGAGCCUCAACAAUAAAGGGAUCUCUCACGUAAAGAGACGGGGGGGACCGGAUUUUUUGGCUCAUGGAGGAGAGAACGAAGGAGAAGGAGACGGAGACAGAAAAAUGAAGGAAAAACAGAGCAUGGAGAGAAGGAGAAACAAGAACGUUUUAGCAAGAGAGAAGAGGGAGGAGAGACGGAAAAAGAGAGAGCCAUAAACGUGAGAGAGAGGUGAGACCGAGGAAGAUUCCGAGAGAGGACCGAAAAAAUGAAAAACAGAGGAAAGAAAAACUAGAGGAGGUGAUAGGGAAGAGCGGACCGAAGGGGAGAGUACGUGUUUCCUGAAAAAGACUGAGAGAGGAGUGAAAAAAGAUAGAACUCGAACAGAAGAAAAAAAACAGAGAGGCUGGGAAGGAGGAGGAAGAAAGGAAAAGAAGGAGAGAGAGCAGUGACCGAAUGUAGGAGAUGGGAGAAGCUUGAACAGAGACAAAGAAGAGAAGAGAACACAGCAACGAGAAAAAAAAUAUGAAAAAACAG